rnacentral:rRNA from 1 species
UGUAUUACUUGACGUUAGCGACAGAAGAAGCACCGGCUAACUCCGUGCCAGCAGCCGCGGUAAUACGGAGGGUGCGAGCGUUAAUCGGAAUUACUGGGCGUAAAGCGCAUGCAGGUGGUUUGUUAAGUCAGAUGUGAAAGCCCGGGGCUCAACCUCGGAAUAGCAUUUGAAACUGGCAGACUAGAGUACUGUAGAGGGGGGUAGAAUUUCAGGUGUAGCGGUGAAAUGCGUAGAGAUCUGAAGGAAUACCGGUGGCGAAGGCGGCCCCCUGGACAGAUACUGACACUCAGAUGCGAAAGCGUGGGGAGCAAACAGGAUUAGAUACCCUGGUAGUCCACGCCGUAAACGAUGUCUACUUGGAGGUUGUGGCCUUGAGCCGUGGCUUUCGGAGCUAACGCGUUAAGUAGACCGCCUGGGGAGUACGGUCGCAAGAUUAAAACUCAAAUGAAUUGACGGGGGCCCGCACAAGCGGUGGAGCAUGUGGUUUAAUUCGAUGCAACGCGAAGAACCUUACCUACUCUUGACAUCCAGAGAACUUUCCAGAGAUGGAUUGGUGCCUUCGGGAACUCUGAGACAGGUGCUGCAUGGCUGUCGUCAGCUCGUGUUGUGAAAUGUUGGGUUAAGUCCCGCAACGAGCGCAACCCUUAUCCUUGUUUGCCAGCGAGUAAUGUCGGGAACUCCAGGGAGACUGCCGGUGAUAAACCGGAGGAAGGUGGGGACGACGUCAAGUCAUCAUGGCCCUUACGAGUAGGGCUACACACGUGCUACAAUGGCGCAUACAGAGGGCAGCAAGCUAGCGAUAGUGAGCGAAUCCCAAAAAGUGCGUCGUAGUCCGGAUUGGAGUCUGCAACUCGACUCCAUGAAGUCGGAAUCGCUAGUAAUCGUGGAUCAGAAUGCCACGGUGAAUACGUUCCCGGGCCUUGUACACACCGCCCGUCACACCAUGGGAGUGGGCUGCAAAAGAAGUAGGUAGUUUAACCUUCGGGAGGACGCUACCAC